rnacentral:misc_RNA from 1 species
UACGUAGGGUGCAGGCGUUAAUCGGAAUUACUGGGCGUAAAGCGUGCGCAGGCGGUUUGUUAAGACAGGUGUGAAAUCCCCGGGCUUAACCUGGGAAUUGCGCUUGUUACUGGCAGACUUGAGUGUGGCAGAGGGGGGUGGAAUUCCAAGUGUAGCAGUGAAAUGCGUAGAUAUUUGGAGGAACACCGAUGGCGAAGGCAGCCCCCUGGGUCAACACUGACGCUCGUGCACGAAAGCGUGGGGAGCAAACAGG